AGCGCAGGCGGGAAGACAAGUUGGAAGUGAAAUCUAUGGGCUCAACCCAUAAACUGCUUUCAAAACUGUUUUUCUUGAGUAGUGCAGAGGUAGGUGGAAUUCCCGGUGUAGCGGUGGAAUGCGUAGAUAUCGGGAGGAACACCAGUGGCGAAGGCGGCCUACUGGGCACCAACUGACGCUGAGGCUCGAAAGCGUGGGGAGCAAACA
rnacentral:rRNA from 1 species